AACUAUACAAUACACCAACCACCCCAUUUCAGAACGAACUUCGUACGAACCUGAAUUGGCCGAUUUCAAGGACCAAUCGAUAUAGGAUUGAGUCCAAAACUUGGGGAACAUCAUAAAAUUGUGGGAGGAGUCAUUUGGUAUGUUUUGAGUGAAAUCCAAUCUCUAGAACUAUACAAUACACCAACCACCCCAUUUCAGAACGAACUUCGUACGAACCUGAAUUGUCCGAUUUCAAGGACCAAUCGAUAUAGGAUUGAGUCCAAAACUUGGGGAACAUCAUAAAAUUGUGGGAGGAGUCAUUUGGUGGGUUUUGAGUGAAAUCCAAUCUCUAGAACUAUACAAUACAUAAACCACCCCAUUUCAGAAGGAACUUCGUACGAACCUGAAUUGUCCAAUUUGAAGGACCAAUCGAUAUCGGAUUGAGUCCAAAACUUGGGGAACAGCAUAAUAUUGUG
rnacentral:lncRNA from 1 species